CAGCAGCCGCGGUAAUACGAAGGGGGCUAGCGUUGUUCGGAAUUACUGGGCGUAAAGCGCACGUAGGCGGCUUUGUAAGUUAGAGGUGAAAGCCUGGAGCUCAACUCCAGAAUUGCCUUUAAGACUGCAUCGCUUGAAUCCGGGAGAGGUGAGUGGAAUUCCGAGUGUAGAGGUGAAAUUCGUAGAUAUUCGGAAGAACACCAGUGGCGAAGGCGGCUCACUGGACCGGCAUUGACGCUGAGGUGCGAAAGCGUGGGGAGCAAACAGGAUUAGAUACCCCCGUAGUCCCUGUCUCUUAUAC
rnacentral:rRNA from 1 species